rnacentral:rRNA from 1 species
UAUGAGGAGUGAAGCCCACAACGCGACCCCAG